ACACAAACCCUUUCCAUAUUCUUUCCUGUUUUUCAGUCCAUCUUCCUUUGGAUAAUACAUUCUCCAGAACCUACAGCCUAAGCAAGAUGGAUAGAAAAACAGAAAAGAGUGAGGCCAAGAGCUUAUGCAA
rnacentral:miRNA from 1 species